AUUGAACGCUGGCGGCAGGCCUAACACAUGCAAGUCGAGGGGGCAGCAAUGUCACCGGCGAACGGGUGUGUAACGCGUAUGCAACCUACCUACAUCAGGGGGAUAGCCCUAGGAAACUGGGAUUAACACCGCAUAAUAUAAGCUACGGCAUCGUAACUUAUUGAAAUAUUUAUAGGAUGUAGAUGGGCAUGCGUAGGAUUAGCUAGUUGGUAAGGUAACGGCUUACCAAGGCUACGAUCCUUAGGGGCUCUGAGAGGAGUAUCCCCCACACUGGCACUGAGAUACGGGCCAGGCUCCUACGGGAGGCAGCAGUAGGGAAUAUUGGGCAAUGGAGGCAACUCUGACCCAGCCAUGCCGCGUGCAGGAAGACGGUCCUCUGGAUUGUAAACUGCUUUUGAAUGGGAAGAAUGUGCUUCUUGCGAGGAGUAAUGACGGUACCAUUAGAAUAAGCCACGGCUAACUACGUGCCAGCCGCCGCCGUAAAAC
rnacentral:rRNA from 1 species